AUACGUAGGGGGCGAGCGUUGUCCGGAAUGAUUGGGCGUAAAGGGCGCGUAGGCGGCCCGGUAAGUCUGGAGUGAAAGUCCUGUUUUUAAGAUGGGAAUUGCUUUGGAUACUGUCGGGCUUGAGUGCAGGAGAGGUAAGUGGAAUUCCCAGUGUAGCGGUGAAAUGCGUAGAGAUUGGGAGGAACACCAGUGGCGAAGGCGACUUACUGGGCCGUAACUGACGCUGAGGCGCGAAAGCGUGGGGAGCGAACAGGAUUAGAUACCCUGGUAGUCCACGCGGUAAACGAUGAAUGCUAGGUGUUGCGGGUAUCGACCCCUGCAGUGCCGGAGUAAACACAAUAAGCAUUCCGCCUGGGGAGUACGGCCGCAAGGUUGAAACUCAAAUGAAUUGACGGGG
rnacentral:rRNA from 1 species